GAUGAACGCUGGCGGCGUGCCUAAUACAUGCCAGUCGAGCGAACGGACGAGAAGCUUGCUUCUCUGAUGUUAGCGGCGGACGGGUGAGUAACACGUGGAUAACCUACCUAUAAGACUGGGAUAACUUCGGGAAACCGGAGCUAAUACCGGAUAAUAUUUUGAACCGCAUGGUUCAAAAGUGAAAGACGGUCUUGCUGUCACUUAUAGAUGGAUCCGGGCUGCAUUAGCUAGUUGGUAAGGUAACGGCUUACCAAGGCAACGAUGCAUAGCCGACCUGAGAGGGGGGUCGGCCACACUGGAACUGAGACACGGUCCAGACUCCUACGGGAGGCAGCAGUAGGGAAUCUUACGCAAUGGGCGAAAGCCUGGCGGAGCAACGCCGCGUGAGUGAUGAAGGUCUUCGGAUCGGAAAACUCUGUUAUUAGGGAAGAACAUAUGUGUAAGUAACUGUGCACAUCUUGACGGUACCUAAUCAGAAAGCCACGGCUAACUACGUG
rnacentral:rRNA from 1 species